rnacentral:tRNA from 1 species
GGGCGCGUAGCUCAGCGGGAGAGCGCUGCACUCACAUUGCAGAGGUCGCUGGUUCGAAACCAGCCGUGCCCACCA